ACGGAGGGUGCGAGCGUUGUCCGGAAUCAUUGGGCGUAAAGAGUUCGUAGGUGGCAUGUAAAGUCCGGUGUUAAAUGCAGGAGCUCAACUUCUGUUCGGCACUGGAUACUUGCAAGCUAGAAUUCGGUAGAGGUAAAGGGAAUUCCUGGUGUAGCGGUGAAAUGCGUAGAUAUCAGGAGGAACAUCGGUGGCGUAAGCGCUUUACUGGGCCGACAUUGACACUGAGGAACGAAAGCCGGGGUAGCAAAUGG
rnacentral:rRNA from 1 species